rnacentral:rRNA from 1 species
UACGUAGGGUGCGAGCGUUUGUCCGGAAUUACUGGGCGUAAAGAGCUCGUAGGUGGUUUGUCGCGUUGUUCGUGAAAACUCACAGCUCAACUGUGGGCGUGCGGGCGAUACGGGCAGACUGGAGUACUGCAGGGGAGACUGGAAUUCCUGGUGUAGCGGUGGAAUGCGCAGAUAUCAGGAGGAACACCGGUGGCGAAGGCGGGGUCUCU